rnacentral:rRNA from 1 species
CCUCGGGUGGCAGCAGUGGGGGAUACUGCACAAUGGGGGAAACCCUGAUGCAGCGACGCCGCGUGUGGGAAGACGGUCCUCUGGAUUGUAAACCACUGUCCCCAGGGACGAAGAUGACGGUACCUGGGGAGGAAGCUCCGGCUAACUACGUGCCAGUAGCCGCGGUAAUACGUAGGGAGCGAGCGUUGUCCGGAAUUACUGGGUGUAAAGGGAGUGUAGGCGGGGAUGCAAGUUGGGUGUCAAAACUACCGGCUAAACUGGUAGUCGCACUCAAAACUGCAGCUCUUGAGUGAAGUAGAGGCAGGGGGAAUUCCUAGUGUAGCGGUGAAAUGCGGAGAUAUUAGGAGGAACACCAGGGGUGAAGGCGGCCUGCUGGGCUUUUACUGACGCUGAGGCUCGAAAGUGUGGGGAGCAAACAGGAUUAGAUACCCGGGUAGUC